rnacentral:tRNA from 1 species
UGCCGUGACCAGGAUUCGAACCUGGGUUAUUGCGGCCACAACACAAUGUCUCAACCACUAGACGAUCACGGC